rnacentral:lncRNA from 1 species
CUCACAAUCCAACUUGUUGUUUUGCGAGAUAACAACGAACUCGGUCGGUUUUCACAGGCUCACCGACUAGAACCAACCGAUUGUUUUCUCGGGUUCACAAUCAAACCCAGUUGGUUUUCCCCACAGGCUCACCAACCACAACCUUACAACGAUUGUUUUCCGGGUUCACAAUCAACCCAGUUGGUUUUCCCAAAGGCUCACCAACCACAACCUAACACCGUUGGUUUUUCCUUUGGCUCACCAACUAACCUUAACCCCUUGAUUCAAUCCCUUCAUUGAAUCAAGUUACAAGAUAUUAAAACUAAGAUUUAAAGACAAAUACAAGCUUCUCACUUAAGCAGAUAUAGCAAAUAUAAAUAAGUAAGGUAAAGAGAAGAAGCCCU